UUUGUGUUGUAACCACCUUUAAACACACAAAAUGUAUCCUUCCUCCCUUCCUUGAAGUAACCAGUAAUCUAACAUAAGUAGCUUGAUGAAAGCUAUAGAGUCUUCACUUGUACCUGUCCAGUCCUUGUACCUGUAAGUAAUGACUUCAAGGGAAGGAGAGAUGAAUUUGAACAGAGCCAGGGUCUUCAGCAUGGCUGACAGAGGAAAGGAGGUACAGCAAAGACCUAUCCCACCUCUGACCUCUGUCACCUAUUAUUAGGAAAUUGACCGGUCACUAGGCCAGGGCAGUUAAGACCGUUGGCCCAAUCAGAUACUCCGUUACUGUUACGCCCUGCACCUCCAGGUCCAACAGCCGUUGGACCGGGCUGCCCUUUCUCUAUCCCAAGGGACCAUGACAUGUGGGAGGGAGGCUUGAGCUCAUGGCACAUGGCAGGGAUACAGUGCAAUUUCUCUGUCUUCUCCAUACCUGUUUUUUCUUUUUUUACUAUUUUAAUAAGCCCCAUUAAUAUAAGUAUUAAUAUAAAGUCUAAUAAUUCACAUAUUAUUCAAUAGACCAAAAACAUUUCCGGUGUGUACUUAGGGUUGCAAAGGGUCGGAAACUUUCCGAUAAAUUUCUGCAUUUUGUUCUGAAAUUUUCCAUGGGAAUUUAAGCCCUGGAAUUUGGGGAAUUUUGUCUAAAUGUAUCAAAAAAUGUAGCUUAUAACUGAACCUUUUUUGUGGGAUACACAUAUGGCAAUUCUAGGUCUUGUGGCAUAUUUUGGUUAAACUAUCCCCAAUUCAAUGGAAUUGCAACCCUCUGCAUGCACAGUGCAUUCUUUUAUCACAUGUGCAGUGCACUCUUCCAUCACAUGUACAGCUGAUUCUCAAGAUCUUGCACGCUAAUGAGAUGCUAUUGAGCCCACACUACUACACUGUCUGAGCCUAGAACUACAUAUUUUCUGGAAAAUGCCACGGGAACUAUCUGAUGUGUGGAGACAUUUCACUGCAGCUAAUGUAGAAGAAAAAGCUGUGUACAUUUGCAAAUACUUUGCCAAAUCAUAUGUGAAGAAUGCAACAAAGAUGCAGAAUCCUCUGGCCAAGUGCAUGAAGUUCCCUAAGCGCUCAUUAAAAGCAACCUUUGACAAAAGUCCCUCUACUUCUAUUUGAGGUGAAAAUGAUGAAUCAGACACCUUAUCGAUAGCAACGGCUCAUGGACCUCCUGGAAUCAGAAGGUUUUUUUGACUAUGGAGGAACGUAGUCAGAGAAAUGCUGAUGAAUGUCUUGCUCGAGCUGUGUAUGCAACUGGUUCACCUCUGAUGCUCACAGGCAAUGUGUAUCGGAAGAGAUUUCUGAAUGUUCUUUGCCCAGCAUACACCCCUCCAACCAGACAUGCUUUAUCUACUCAUUUGCUGCAUGCAGAGUUCAACAGAGUUAAAGUGAAGGUCAAGCAAACCAUAGAGAAAGCAGACUGUAUUGCAAUCCAUCUCUGAUGGGUGGUCGAAUGUUUGUGGGCAAGGAAUAAUUAACUACAUCUCCACCCCUCAACCAAUAUUCUACAAGAGCACAGACACAAGGGACAACAGACACACUGGUCUCUACAUUGCAGAUGAGCUGAAGGCAGUCAUCAAUGACCUUAGACCACAGAAGGCAUUUGCACUGGUGACAGACAAUACUGCAAUCAUGAAGGCUGCUUGGUCUAAAGUGGAGGAGUCCUACCCUCACAUCACAUCCAUUGGCUGUGCUGCUCAUGCAUUGAAUCUGCUCCUCAAGGACAUCAUGGCACUGAAAACAAUGGAUACACUCUACAAGAGAGCCAAGGAAAUGUUUAGGUAUGUGAAGGGUCAUCAAGUUAUAGCAGCAAUCUACCUCACCAAUUAAAGUGAGAAGAACAAGAGCACCAGAUUGAAGCUGCCCAGCAACACCCAUUGGGGUGAUGUUGUCAUGUUUGACAGUCUCCUGGAGGGGAAGGAGUCUCUCCAAGAAAUGGCCAUAUCACAGUCUGCAGAUAUGGACAGCCCCAUCAAGAGGAUCCUCCUGGAUGAUGUAUUUUGGGAAAGAGUGGUAAGCAGCCUGAAACUCCUGAAACCUAUAGCAGUAGCCAUUGCACAGAUUAAGGGAGACAAUGCCAUCCUGUCUGAUGUUCAGACUUUGCUUGCAGAUGUAAGAGAAGAAAUCCGUACUGCCCUGCCCACUUCACUGUUGCUCCAAGCAGAGGAAACUGCAGUUCUGGAAUACAUCAAAAAGUGUGAAUACUUCUGCCUGAAGCCCAUACACGCAGCAUCGUACAUGUUGGACCCCAAUUAUGCUGGCAAGAGCAUCCUGUCUGGCGCAGAGGUCAACAAGGCCUAUGGUGUCAUCACUACCAUGUCUCGCCGCCUGGAUGGGGGCAAGGUUCCUGGCAGUUUCCAAGCAAGGGCUUUCGGAUGUGGAUGCGAUAUGGCAGGCGUGCCAACAUAUCUCAUCAGCCACAUGGUGGAAGGGACUUUGUGGAUCUGAGGCUCUUUCCCCUGUUUCCUCCAUCAUCCUCCAAAUCCCACCAACGUCAGCCGCCUCAGAGCGCAACUGGUCCUUGUUUGGGAACACACCCACCAAAGCACACAACAGGCUGACCAAUUGGUUGAAAAACUGGUGGCCAUCCGGGCAAAUUUGAGGUUUUUUGAGCCUGACAACGAGCCAUCCUCAACAAGGUUGGAAAGUGACAGUGAAGAUGAGGCCUCAGAGUCUGAUGUCCAAGAGGUGGACAUUGAGGAGAUCCAGGGAAAAGACAUGGAAGCCUGAGAGGAAGACAACCAAAGCUUUAGUUUCUAGACUCAUUUUACAGAUCAUUUUACAGAUGUAUGUUGAAAAUGUUUUUGGGAGAUGCGAUGGAUCAUUAGGGAUCAUUCAAUAUUCCCUUUCUUUUGUUGUUCAGUGAAAUAAUCCCAUGUGAAGAGUCAACUCAUUUAAUUAAAAUUAAUUCUGGAACUAAAUUGUUUUUUAAAAUUCUGUUGGAAGGAUUUAAUCAUUUGCAAUUAUGUCUACUUAUGAUAAGGUAAAAGGUUUAUGUUUCUGUCUCCAUAUGAUAUGGUAAAUAUAUCCAAUGCAAAAAAACAUCUACAUAUAAAUGGUCUUAAUAUUAAUUUGCAUAUGUUCCCGUUAAUUCCCACAGACAGUUUUCACCUCUGAAUAUUCCCCAAAAUGUGCAAACCUAUGUGUACUGUAUGCUGUUGGAAUGUCUCACUCAGGCCUUACAUGUCAUUGAGACAUAUAUUAUCCACCUUUUUAAUGUUAUUCUUCUUGUUUGUUUUUUAAAAAAUGUCUUACUUUUCUCUGUUGAUGAACUACUUUGUUUUCUUGCACUGGUGUUCAUUGGCAAUGUGCUUUAUUUAUAAUGUCUCACUGAGUUUGUGUUUUGUUUUAAAGGAAUUCAUGUUUUAUUCUUUUCCCUCAUAGGCAGUCAGUCAGUCAUUGAUAACAUUGUAAAGUAUUUGAACAGUCAUCAGCCCUGGGUUCAAAUCUUUAAAAUACUUACAUACAAUUUGGGUCUAACUGUGUCCCCUGUGUAUUGCUCUGGGAAAGGACCACAGAGAUCUCUGUAGACAGAAGCUGAUAUGGUAAACUGAUUUUUUUUAUUAUGAUCAAGUACUGUGGUAGAUGACUGUUGAAAUGUAUUAUAUUUAUGAUGAGAGAUUGAACCAUAGUAGAUAAUUUCCAUAAAAUGCUAUACAGUAUGUGACCUUGUACAUACAGUUGAAGUCGGAAGUUUACAUACACCUUAGCCAAACACAUUUUAACUAAGAUUUUCACAAUUCCUGACAUUUAAUCCUAGUAAAAAUUCCCUGUGUUAGGUCAGUUAGGAUCACCAUUUUAUUUUAAGAAUUUGAAAUGUCAGAAUAAUAGUAGAGAGAACGAUUUAUUUCAGCUUUUAUUUCUUUCACCACAUUCCCAGUGGGUCAGAAGUUUACAUGCACUCAAUUAGUAUUUGGUAGCAUUGCCUUUAAAUUGUUUAACUUGGGUCAAACGUUUCGGGUAGCCUUCCACACGCUUCCCACAAUAAGUUGCGUGAAUUUUGGCCCAUUCCUCCUGACAGAGCUGGUGUAACUGAGUCAGGUUUGUAGGCCUCCUUGCUCGUAUACGCUGUUUCAGUUCUGCCCACAAAUUUUCUAUAGGAUUGAGGUCAGGGCUUUGUGAUGGCCACUCCAAUACCUUGACUUUGUUGUCCUUAAGCCAUUUUGCCACAACUUUGGAAGUAUGCUUGGGGUCAUUGUCCAUUUGGAAGACCCAUUUGCGACCAAACUUUAACUUCCUGACUGAUGUCUUGAGAUGUUGCUUCAAUAUAUCCCCAUAAUUUUCCUACCUCAUGAUGCCAUCUAUUUUGUGAAGUGCACCAGUUCCUCCUGCAGCAAUGCACCCCCACAACAUGAUGCUGCCAUCCCUGUGCUUCACGGUUGGGAUGGUGAUCUUCGGCUUGCAAGCCUCUCCCUUUUUCCUCCAAACAUAACGAUGAUCAAUAUGGCCAAACAGUUCUAUUUUUGUUUCAUCAGACCAGAGGACAUUUCUCCAAAAAGUACAAUAUUUUGUAUGAUUUGUACUUUUCACACCAAAGUACGUUCAUCUCUAGGAGGCAGAAUGCAUCUCCUUCCUGAGCGGUAUGACGGUUGCGUGGUCCCAUGGUGUUUAUUCUUGCGUACUAUUGUUUGUACAGAUGAACGUGGUACCUUCAGGCGUUUGGAAAUUGCUCCCAAGGAUGAACCAGAAAUGUGGAGGUCUACAAUUUAUUUUCUGAUGUCUUGGCUGAUUUCUUUUGAUUUUCCCAUGAUGUCAAGCAAAGAGGCACUGUGUUUGGAGGUAGGCCUUGAAAUACAGCCAUAGGUACACCUCCAAUUGACACAAAUUAUGUCAAUUAGCCCCUAAGAAGCUUCUAAAGCCAUGACAUAAUUUUCUGGAAUUAUCCAAGCUGUACAAAUGCACAGUCAACUUAGUUUUUGUAAACUUCUGACCAACUGGAAUUGUGAUACAGUGAAUUAUAAGUGAAAUAAUCUGUCUGUAAGCAAUUGUUGGAAAAAUUACUUGUGUAAUGCAUAAAGUAGAUGUCCUAACCGACUGGCCAAAACUGUAGUUUGUUAACAAGAAAUGUGUGGAGUGGUUGAAAAAGCGAGUUUUAAUGACUCCAACCUAAGUGUAUGUAAACUUCCGACUUCAACUGUAUACUUUUGUAUGGAGAGUGUUUAUUAUUAAAGACUUUCAGUCCAAUAGCAUGGAUGUAUGUAGCCCCCUGUA